GCAGACAAGGGACAGUUUUAAGUCCCUCGAAAAUACUGCACUUCUGAACUCGUGAACUUUGUCUUUAAAGGAGAGGAGCGCGCGGCCGCUCUGCUUCCACGACACGCGAAGUGUGACGAACGCGUCCGGUCGCCAUGGCCGCGUCCGCAGCUCCGAAAUGCGACGACGUCUUCAUUUGCAUUUUGUUUGGCGUUAAAUACUAAAAACAAGGGCACCAAAGGCGUGCUGAAGCGUUAGAAAAUAUAACGCUAUAAUAUAUCCAACGUAGCAUUGGCAUGGGUUUAACGCGGGAAGAAACAUUUGCGGUCAUAAACUAAGCGGCACAAUUACUAGGUUUGGGUAGAGAGGAAAGACUCGGCAGCGUUUCAAGAAGAAACGUAUUUUAAUUCGUGUCGUAAAUUCCAAGCCACCGUUCAGAGCAGCCCGACGUUGAAGGGUAAUAAAAAAUUGGUGGCGUUUAAUGGUGUUUGACAGUGUAAAUGAGACACGGCGCGAGCGCCUCCCCGUCCUCAGUCCCCCUUCACCUUAAAUGAACUCGUGUAAUGUGGCUCCGGAGCGGCGCAGCGCGGUUUGCUGUGGCCCGGGACCAGCAGCCUCGCAGGGGAACUGCAACCAGAAACAGAGAAAAAGGACCUUCCACACCUGGAUAGAGCGGACGCGGGCGGUGCGCGUGCUCGAGAGCCCGGUGUCCGGUGUCGGCCGGAGCGGGGACGCGGGGACGCGGGACAAAACGAGCUCCGGCGUUCGCGCGAGAGAGGCCGUCUCGAGGGACGCCGCCAACGGCCGGGAGUGACACAUUACUGCGCACCGCGGAGCCGCAUUCAAAUUUCAACUUCAAACGGCUUUUUGGGAUUAAAACCGCUUUUUGGGCUUUUUUAGCGAACGCGUCCGUCCUCUAAUGAAGACAUUACGCACUACAGUGCGCUCAUGAAUGGGAGCUGCAGUGCAGUAGCAACAGCUAUAAUUGAGGCAUUGACUGCCGACCAGUUUGGUGAGGAGACUCCAGUUCAGAACAGACAGCAGGGACCUACAUCCCGAGAAAUACAGAGGAAGAAAGGAAAAAGAGAAAGGAUGCGUUUCUUGGUUUUGAAACACCCUGCGCAGACCGCUGGCACCUGCAGCUUUUUUCUGAAUUUGUGAUGAUGACACUCCGUAUCUGAGCAGCCAGAGUCCGGGCCCACUGUCAUUUAAGGUUCAUCUGAGCUCUAGAUGAAAGCCUUUGCAGGACAGCUAAGCUCAUUUAGAUGAGAACGCCGUCCCCGUGCGACCAUGUCGACUCUGAGAGGUAUUUUUUUUUUCUUCUCUUUUUUGUUCAUGUUUCCUCCUUACGCAGACUGGACCUUGCAAAACCGGAAGGUGGAAUGGCUGCAGGAAUGCGACUGUCCUUUGGGGUGAGGUAGUAGGUUGUAUAGUUUGAGGGUGAUACCCUUCCUGUCAGAUAACUAUACAACUUACUGUCUUUCCUGAAGUGGCUGUGAUGUCAUCGCUUGAGGAGACAAUUGCUACACUAUGAUCCUCAGCAGUGUGCUUACUGCACACCAUGUGUGUAACAGAGAUGUGUCCAGCAUUGCUGGAUAUUUGUAUGUUCUGUGCUCUGUAUAAAAUUGAACGUUUAUUUACCUCCAGCAUUUAUUGUUAAAUGUACCAAAUGAGCAAGCAGGACUUAAUGGGCUCCUGUUUUGAGGCUGUUCCCAAACAUUAUUUGGACUGUCACUUGAUACGUUGGGGCCGUUGGGUACGUUUUAUCUCUCUUACCCCCAAACCCACCCGCUGCUUGUGUUCUGUGCCGCACCACCACUCGCUGAUGUUCGCACGGGGUGAGGUAGUAGGUUGUGUGGUUUCAGGGUAGAGAUUUUGCCCCAUCAGAAGAUAACUAUACAACCUACUGCCUUCCCUGAAGGGCAGCAAUACAGCGCUUGACAGUGAGUCACCUAGUCAUUAGUGAUGUGUAAAAUCAGAAGUUUGAACCUGGUACAGUUAAGGAAAAAAGGAAUAUACAACACAAAAGUUACCUCUGCAGAAUGUUAUUUAAGGGUACUUGAAAUCAAUAAAAAGAAUUAAUUCUCA